GGGAGGCAGAAGUUAAUGCAGAUAUCCAGCAUUCAGUCAUCUUCCUAUUUUACUGACAAUAAUGGAAUACUAUGGAGAAACAAGAUUCUGACAUUCAAGACACCCAAAGCAAAGGCCUAUCUUACCUAUCUCCACUAGAAGGAAUUGCAAUAGGUCAGUUUAUGUCAUAUACAGAUGAAUAUUCAAAGGUUUCUCUCAUAUGUGGCAACCCCUUUCCCUUAUAUUAUUCUUCCAAUCACAGAAUCACAGAAUAUUUUUUGUACUGGGGAG
rnacentral:lncRNA from 1 species